CGCCUACGGGAGGCAGCAGUGAGGAAUAUUGGGCAAUGCCCGAAAGGGUGACCCAGCAACGCCGCGUGGAGGAUGAAGGUCGUAAGAUUGUAAACUCCUGUUAGAGGGGAAGAAUAACUAAGUUUGGAGCUUAGUAUGACUGUACCCUCAGAGAAAGCCCCGGCUAACUACGUGCCAGCAGCCGCGGUAAUACGUAGGGGGCAAGCGUUGUCCGGAUUUACUGGGUGUAAAGGGCGCGCAGGCGGAAUGGAAAGUCAGUGGUGAAAUCCUACAGCUUAACUGUAGAACUGCCUUUGAUACUUUCAUUCUUGAGUUCGGGAGAGAGAGACGGAAUUCCAGGUGUAGUGGUGAAAUACGUAGAUAUCUGGAAGAACACCAGUUGCGAAGGCGGUCUCUUGGUCCGAUACUGACGCUGAGGCGCGAAAGCGUGGGGAGCAAACAGGAUUAGAUACCCCAGUAGUC
rnacentral:rRNA from 1 species